ensembl:lncRNA
CCCCGCCCCCCCCCGGCUCCGCCGCUCCCAGCCCGCCACAGCCCCGCCCGCGGGCGCCCCCGCCGCGCUCCGCUCCGGUCCGCUCCGCCGGCAGCCCGCUGGCGAGGCGCAGGAGCGGCGGUGGAUCCGCCGCUGGGAGCGGGGCUGGGCUCGGCGCUGGGAGCCGCAGCCAGCUCACGCAGUCGCAGGGAAGAGGAGCAGCCGGGAGCGGCGGCGGAGGCGGGAGCCCGCCCGCCGCCCGAGCACGGCGCGGAGGAUCGGCACAUCCCCGUUCCACCGGGGGCGGCUCUGCCGCCCCCCCCUUCCCCUCCCUCUCUCCCUCCCUCCCUCCCUCCCCGCCCCUCCGGAGCGCCAUCCCUGCGAGUUUCCCUCGCUGCCCGUGCCGUCGCCGGGCGCCCGCCUCCGCAUCUCGCGCGCCAUCAACUCCGGGAGCCGCCGGCGGAGGGCAGGGGCCCGAAGUUACCGCCAGCCCGGUGGAAAGUAGCGGCAAGGGGAAGGGAUCGGACGCCAGCACAGCCCGGCCCGGCCGGAGGGAGCUGGCGCAGCGCGCCGCCACCCGCAGCUCCCCGGCCGGAGGCUGGCCCCGGGCCGCGCUGGCCGGGGCAGAGCGACGCGGCCCCGCGGCAGCUGCCGGCCGCCCCGACCCGCGCCGGACCCGCUGCGAAAGAGCCAACAUGCAAAGUAGAAGGAAACCCGAAACUGUUCUUUUAACAAAAAAAAAUUGGCUUUCUGCCUCCUUCGCAUGUUUCCUUUUUGCUUCAUAACGGAAAGAGCAGGAUUACCUGAAUCACUGAGGCAAAAUCUGGGCAUCAUUAGCUGAAGAUAAGAUGAAAGAAGACUUGAAAAUAUGUCGAUGCUCCAUGACUAUUAAUUAAGACACACCUUUCACUAACAGAGGGGAAUAGUGGUAAAAGCACUGCAGUUUCAUCAAAAGGAGCUAAUGGAGGAUCUAUGUUGAUUAUUAUUUUUAUUUUAAUUUAUUUUUUCUUCCCACUCUCCCAUGAGUCCUAAAAGAGAAAGAUAGAAAGAGUGUAUGUGGAAAUUGAGAUAAGGUGAAGGCUGAAGACAGUAACUUCAGUUUUGGAGUCUCUUUUCCCAGUGCUGUGAAUUCCCUGUUUCAUCAAAUAUAUAAUUUAUUUAAAACAAUGUGUAAUAAUUUUGUGAUCAGUGGAGUUUUGUCAGCUCCAGAAGUGGAAUUUGACCUCAUGGAAAGCUUUUUAAAAAAGUAAAUGUAUGCCUCCAAUUUCUUCUUUUCAAGUUACUGGGCAUUGUGAACCAGUGUUUUAUAUGCAUGUCCUAGAGAUUUUACUUUUUCCCUGAUUUUAAUAUUUAUGUAUUUAGAUUUAGUGUUUUGUUUGAGAAAACUGUGACCAGACAAGGCACCUGAGAUUUGAGUUUUCAAGAGCCUUGUUAUUUCAAUAUUGCAGCUCUGAUUACUGACUGUCUGUUACAAUGCACAGUACACACUAAAUCUUUUCUCCUCAAAAUAUGCCUUAAGAUGUUCACUUUUGUACUAACUGGAUCAAAGUUUGAUAACUGAACAUUGUGUUUUGUUAGGAAAUGCAUGCCUGGGGAA